UAAUAACGAUCAAAAGAACUCCUCAGUCCAGGGCUGUGAGAUGGCCCUCUUAUUCAUCACUCCUUUCCAGCCCACUAAUCUAUUUCCUGUGUCACUCACAGCUGACAUGUCCAACCAGCCAUUGUCACUAGUCAUAUGCACGCCCCCAAACAUCACAAACCCACACCAGGCUGAAGUCCAGGGGACAGGAACUUUAAAAGAAAACAGAAACUCAGUGGAUAAAGGUGAGCCAGCAACACAAAAAGGAGCAACUUCUGUCCCCCAAAUAGAAUGGGAAUAAUCCACAUGAGAGUUGCUCCUUCUGCCUGGGCCUGGGAAUGAGAAGACCUGUGGAGCUGAGCUACUGCUUACCCACAACCUGCAUAUACAUAAAUCAGAAGCCAGCACUGGUUGUUGUGAGUCGCUUAGAUUUUGGGCUUGAUGAAGAUGACCUUAGGCACAGUGACCCUGAAGGCCACAUGUUAAAGACAGUGGAGCCACAGGAUGGAAGGAAGCUGGUUCCCUGAAUCAUCACGUGGCAGAGAGCGGACCACUAAUCAGGAUCAUGUGUUUCAGAUUUCACUUGACCAAUAAAUCAAUUUCAAUUUUGUUACACUG
rnacentral:lncRNA from 1 species